rnacentral:lncRNA from 1 species
ACUAAUUGGGGAAAAAAUUGCUUAGGAGUAGUAGUAAACAAAUGAAUCAACAGCAAUAAAAUAAAUUAUAUCAAUGAGAUUAUUUGGUGCUCAUGAAGCUCCAGCUCUCAGAAUAUUAUAUACCGAAGCUCAAAGCUAUAAUCUGUUUUGAUUGUUAAAAAGAAAACUAUAAUAAUAAUAAAGCUUUCAUCUUUGAAAGAACAACAAAUACAACCUGGCAACCUGAACCAAUGGUUAAAUUGGUCGACAUAAUACAACCUCAAACAUACUCAAAAAUAGAACCCUAACAAAGCAAUAGAAAUUAUGAACAAAAAGAGCAGCAGAAAGAUUACAAGAUUCAAAUCUUUAGAGAAAAAUCAGGCCAAUAUUUGACGUCCGAGCACAUGCGGAUCUUCAUAUAUUUCUUCCAUUUAAGUUCCAGCAUUCUUAUUAGGCUAAAGGUCCAAAUCCAGUCAUAAAUAUCAUAUUAGCUUCAUGAUCAACCCAA